rnacentral:rRNA from 1 species
AGCAGCCGCGGUAAUUCCAGCUCCAAUAGCGUAUAUUAAAGUUGUUGCAGUUAAAAAGCUCGUAGUUGAAUUUCGGGAUCAAUAUAUCGGUCAUGCUUAGGUAUGUACUGGUAUUAUUGAUUUCUCCCUUCUGAAGAACCAUGAUGUCAUUAAUUUGGUGUCGUGGGGAAUCAGGACUGUUACUUUGAAAAAAUUAGAGUGUUUAAAGCAGGCAUACGCUUGAAUACAUUAGCAUGGAAUAAUGAAAUAGGACGUUUGAUUCUAUUUUGUUGGUUUCUAGGAUCGACGUAAUGAUUAAUAGGGAUAGUUGGGGGCAUUAGUAUUCAAUUGUCAGAGGUGAAAUUCUUGGAUUUAUUGAAGACUAACUACUGCGAAAGCAUUUGCCAAGGAUGUUUUCAUUAAUCAAGAACGAAAGUUAGGGGAUCGAAGACGAUCAGAUACCGUCGUAGUCUUAACCAUAAACUAUGC